GAGCUCAGCUGGUAGAGCACAAGACUCUUAAUCUAAGGGCCAUGGGUUACAGCCCCACGUUGGGCA